UACGGAGGGGGCUAGCGUUGUUCGGAAUUACUGGGCGUAAAGCGCGCGUAGGCGGAUCUGCAGGUCGGGGGUGAAAUCCCGAGGCUCAACCUCGGAACUGCCUUUGAUACUGGGGAUCUCGAGUCCGGGAGAGGUGAGUGGAACUGCGAGUGUAGAGGUGAAAUUCGUAGAUAUUCGCAAGAACACCAGUGGCGAAGGCGGCUCACUGGCCCGGAACUGACGCUGAGGUGCGAAAGCGUGGGGAGCAAACAGG
rnacentral:rRNA from 1 species